GCGCUUGCUUUUGCAGCGUAUAUUCUAAAAUUGGAACCGUACAGAGAAGGUGAGCACGGCCCCUGAGCAAAGACGACACACAAAUUCAUGAGGCAUUCCAGAUUUUA